GUCCAGCAGGAGUUAGCGACAGGGAGGGCUACUUACCUGGGCGUAGCUGAGGCGGGAGGAAGUGGACAGUUUAGGGUCUCAGAGGAUAUAUGCGGGAGAUGACUGAGUUAGAUGGGAUGGGGGCAGUGGGGGUGCAAGGAAAGUUGAAAAGGAGACCAGGUCUUGGGAGGACUACAGUGAGGCAGGGUGCUUGGAAAUUGCCCGUAGUAACCCAGGGGGAGAACAGCAGUUCUCUAGGCUGGCCCUGCUGGUGCUGGAGCAGGGGAGCUUCACCUGUGGAAGGUCGUUGCUCUUCCAUGGAUGAGGGAGCCUCAGGGCCCUGGUUUGUGUGAGAGGAGGACGGCAGGAAGGAGGAGUGGGCGCUUGAUGCCCUGGGAAUAAUCAGGAAGGAAGGCUGGAUUGCAGGUGGCCUGGGAGGGCCCACCUCGAAUUUGUCAUACUAGCGACCCCCUUUUUUUCCAGACAGAGGGUUGUGAACCAGCCUGGGGUGAGGCUCUGGUCUUGUGGAAACUGAACUUAGCUAUGCUGGGCUGACACCUUGGGCCCAGGCUGGUGGCAGUGCUCCCCUUUGGACUUUUCUCUAGGUUUGGUGCUAAACUCUUCCGUGAGCUCACUCUACCCCUCUCCUCCCUUUAAUUCUCUCGAGGGUAUCAGUUCACUUAAAGCGUUUCUCCUGGUAAUCUGGUAAGCCUGGGGAUGUGGCCUCAGCCAAGUGGCUGUAGCAGACGGUACUGUUGGUAAUGGCCGAGUUGAACAGGCUCUUCCCCUGACACUUGGGGUGGUAUGGGUUGGUAUUGCUUGCCUUGUAGAGGGUGGGGAUUGAAUGUGCACCUUUGGGUGGGCCCACAGGAUGGUUCCAGCAGAAAGUUGAAAAGAUGCCUCAUGGACCAUGGUUUGUUACUGUAGUGUUCAUCAUGGCGAGCAGAUGGCACCAGGAGAAAUGGAGCCCCUGGCCAGUGUGAGUCUAGCAGUGCAGUCUAGCAGUCCUGGAGGAGAGGAGAGAGCCCGCCUAACUGCGGAUUGCAUUUCCAGAGGCUUAGGAGAAGGAAGUUCUCCAAUAUCCUGUUUUCAGGCCUUGCUCCAGCCCCAUAUUCAGGAGGCCACCAUUUAAGGUUUUCAGAUGAGCUUGUGAGGGGGCGGUCUUAAAAAGUCCAAAGCAGCUGCAUCCGGCUUGUGGGGCCAUCAGCUUUGAUUGAAUGUUUGUUCCUGGAACACAUGAAUGCCAACAGGCACCUCCCGCCCUUUCCUGGGGUAAAGAUUUUCAGAUGCUGCAUCUUGAGCCUCCAGCCAUACUAUUUAUGUGCUACAUGCUAUGAACAAUGUUUGCUUCAAGAAGAUUCUUAAGCUGUAGAACAUUUUAAUGUUGAUGCCACCGCAGAAUGAUGCCCUAUAGAUGGAGUUUGUGAUGGAGCCCAGUGACCUCUCAACCUACCACCUACUUGCUUACCUACCUGUCUUGGUCGGAGGAAUUCUUAGUGCAAUAAUAUAACGUGGGGGGUGUUGGGGAAGAUGUUUGAUUUUAAAUGCCUUAAACGGGGGAUGUAUUAGAUGAAGCAGGAUUUGAAAUGAAGGGGGUCAAUACAUCUAGGGGGAAUACAAAUUGGUAAUGUCCAAAUUCUGUGUUAGGGCUGGCAGGUCUAGACUGGGCAAUGCGGUUUCAUUACACAUUACUAACAGAAGGAAAUGGUGGGUGUAACAGUAGUGAUCUUUGGUUCCUGGUUCAUUAUACAAUUUUAUUGUUAUCAAUGUCGUCUCACCAUGUUGCCCAGGCUGGCUUCCUGGGCUAAAGUGAUCCUCCUGCCCCAGCCUGAGUAGCUGUGUCAUAGCAUCCCACUCAACUCCAUUUUUCUAAACUUGAAUUUUACUUGAUUAGAUUUCAAAGUAUUCUGGGGCAUUCCAACAGAAGGACCCUGUGAUAGGAGUUACAGGAGUGGAGGGCACAGUUUGGCACUGGUGUUGGGAGGGAUGGGGGUGAAGAAGGGGAGGGAUGGUUAAGUAUAUGAGGGCUGUCUAGAAAGUAUCCAGCUAGCAGAGGGUUUAGUACAUCACAGAGGGUUGGGGUGGUAGAGUUGUGGGUUGUCAGGAAUUCUCUGGCGUUCUGGGGAAUCUAAUAGAGCUCCUGGGUUAACAAAAUACUGUAAUAGUAAAUUGUUAGUGUUAAAUUACUGUUUGAAAACUUUUUUAAGUACUUAGAACUUUUAAAUGUAAGGAAAAGCAAAAUUGUUUUGCUUUGCUGUAAGGUGGGAAAGACUACAAAAAAGUAUAACUGAAAACUUGAAUCAUUAGUCACUUGAAAGAUAGUGUCAAACUUGGAUCAGCAGAUUAACCUUUACUGCAUUUUACAAACUUCCUAUGUGUGAGAUUUUCAAGAAUAUUAAGUCUUGGAAGAGAUUUCUAAAUGCCUAAAUUGUAGGCUUUUAAAGUAUUUAAGUGAGCACCUAAAAUGAGGUUAGAUGGACUCUUCUAUAAUUCCUAUUUCAUCACAGAUACUUUGAGGUAGACGUUUCAAGCAAAGUGAAAAUACAGUUAUUUUGAAGGAAUUUUGUAAGUUGUGUCUUUUAAACACAUACAUUGUCUUUUCUGUGGUCAGUAUUAACAAUGGUAAAAGCUUUGCCUGCUUGCUAUUGUCUUCAAAUUGUCAUUUUAACAAGGAGGACCAAAUAAUCUGGUGAUCACUGUAAAAAUUACUGUAAUACUGGGUAGCAAACCAAAUCCCUGUACAUUUGCUAAAGUUAGAAUGAAUUUUAAAUAAUCCAGGACUAGAGGGAAAGUAUCAACCAAAAUCAGUUUGGAAAAUAAGAGCCAAAUGGGAGUUGGGGUGGAGAGGGCCUUUACUGGAUGUGGUCUGUGAAAAUUCAAAGCCCAAAAAAUCUUGCUUCUGAGCUGCAUAGUCAGUUGCUUUUUAUUGUGUCUCUCUUCUCUUAAUUUCACUUAAAAUUUUUUAAAUUCCCAGUACUUGUAUCAUUAGAGUUUUUCUGUCCUCCUUUUAAAAAAUGUUUAAAAAUAUGUUGACGUGGUAGUUCAAUUUUUAACCAGUGACUUGUGCCUGAUGAAAUUACUGUUGUUGGAAUUUAAAGUAUACUUAGUCAUGCAUGUAUGGGGAAAUACUCUCUGGUAUGCUGUUGUGAAAUUGAAACUGUAAAAGCAGGUAGUUAAAAAGUACUUCCAUGUUUCUCUGUAUGGUAAGAACUAAUUCUGUUGCAUCAUGUACCUAAUUACUAAUCAUUUUUCUUCCCCUUACAGCACAAAUAAAGGUUUGAGUUCUGGACU